rnacentral:lncRNA from 1 species
GGGGAUGUUUUAGUACAUAAAAAGGUAAAGUCAGUGCUUAUACCUUAACUAAUAUACCAGGCAACCAGCUACAGGCCACAAGCACAAAUCGGGACUGAGAUCUCCAGGUUUUUAUCUUAUCCUCAACCACUCAACCAACCCUUGAGGGGAGUGUAUAUGAGUGUGUGUGUGAAAUACAACACCACCAACCCUAAAAGGGGAAAAUAGAAAAGGGAUAGCAGAAUGUUUUAUAUGAAAACGAAAUUAAAAUCAAAUGACUGACCCCAUGCAAGCGAAGAAACGUGAAAUCCAGGAGGCUACUGAUCUACAAAGUUGCAUUUACACUGUGAAAUAAACAAAUGGGUAUUCGUCAAAGCAUCGAUUUGACCUUCUGGACCUCCAAUACUGACACAAAAUUCAUCUCUUACCUGCAGUUUUAACUAAAAAGAUUCAAACUUUUCAAUAUUUCUAGGAAAAAAAAAAGAGAUUUGGGUGUAAAAAUGAAUAAAAUUUCUGGGGUUGCGUUACUUACAAUUUCUUAGCCUUUUUCUGCUUCUUUGCUCUUAUGGAAUUAAGCAGUAAACAAGAAGGGGAAAAAAAUAUUUUAAAAAAAUCAGAUAGGU